UUCUCAGUUCGGACUGCAGUCUGCAACUCGACUGCACGAAGCUGGAAUCGCUAGUAAUCGCGGAUCAGCACGCCGCGGUGAAUACGUUCCCGGGCCUUGUACACACCGCCCGUCACACCAUGGGAGUCUGCAAUGCCCAAAGCCGGUGGCCUAACCUUCGGGAAGGAGCCGUCUAAGGCAGGGCAGAUGACUGGGGUGAAGUCGUAACAAGGUAGCCGUAGGAGAACCUGCGGCUGGAUCACCUCCUUU
rnacentral:ncRNA from 1 species